AUGGCUGAUGAAGAGUCUUAAUAUUCAUGGACUAUGAGUCCUAUGUGUCUAGGAUACUAUGAUCGAGAAUCAGGAUUCUCUGAUCAUGAGUCCCACAGAUUUUGGGUACCGGGGUCAAGAGUCCCACUGGUUUGGGACUCUUCGAUCAAGGUUUCAUAUUGAUGGACUUUGAUAAUCGAUUGCCCAUCGGAUUUAGACUCAAUAUUUAUGAGAAGUUUAAUUAGUAAUUUGAUUACUAAUUAACUCAAUUUGAUUGAGUAAUUAUUUUUGGAUCAAGUCCAAUUGAAUUGGAUUCAGUUGGAUUUGAUCCGAUUAGGUUAAGA
rnacentral:lncRNA from 1 species